UAAGUUAGAAAGGGCGCACGGUGGAUGCCUUGACACUAGGAGUCGAUGAAGGACGGGACUAACGCCGAUAUGCUUCGGGGAGCUGUAAGUAAGCUUUGAUCCGAAGAUUUCCGAAUGGGGAAACCCACCAUACGUAAUGGUAUGGUAUCCUUAUCUGAAUACAUAGGGUAAGGAAGACAGACCCAGGGAACUGAAACAUCUAAGUACCUGGAGGAAGAGAAAGCAAAUGCGAUUUCCUGAGUAGCGGCGAGCGAAACGGAACAUAGCCCAAACCAAGAGGCUUGCCUCUUGGGGUUGUAGGACAUUCUAUACGGAGUUACAAAGGAACGAGGUAGACGAAGCGACCUGGAAAGGUCCGUCGUAGAGGGUAACAACCCCGUAGUCGAAACUUCGUUCUCUCUUGAAUGUAUCCUGAGUACGGCGGAACACGUGAAAUUCCGUCGGAAUCUGGGAGGACCAUCUCCCAAGGCUAAAUACUCCCUAGUGAUCGAUAGUGAACCAGUACCGUGAGGGAAAGGUGAAAAGCACCCCGGAAGGGGAGUGAAAGAGAUCCUGAAACCGUGUGCCUACAAAUAGUCAGAGCCCGUUAACGGGUGAUGGCGUGCCUUUUGUAGAAUGAACCGGCGAGUUACGAUCCCGUGCGAGGUUAAGCUGAAGAGGCGGAGCCACAGCGAAAGCGAGUCUGAAUAGGGCGUUUAGUACGUGGUCGUAGACCCGAAACCAGGUGAUCUACCCAUGUCCAGGGUGAAGUUCAGGUAACACUGAAUGGAGGCCCGAACCCACGCACGUUGAAAAGUGCGGGGAUGAGGUGUGGGUAGCGGAGAAAUUCCAAUCGAACCUGGAGAUAGCUGGUUCUCCCCGAAAUAGCUUUAGGGCUAGCCUUAAGUGUAAGAGUCUUGGAGGUAGAGCACUGAUUGGACUAGGGGUCCUCAUCGGAUUACCGAAUUCAGUCAAACUCCGAAUGCCAAUGACUUAUCCUUAGGAGUCAGACUGCGAGUGAUAAGAUCCGUAGUCAAAAGGGAAACAGCCCAGACCGCCAGCUAAGGUCCCAAAGUGUGUAUUAAGUGGAAAAGGAUGUGGAGUUGCUUAGACAACUAGGAUGUUGGCUUAGAAGCAGCCACCAUUUAAAGAGUGCGUAAUAGCUCACUAGUCGAGUGACUCUGCGCCGAAAAUGUACCGGGGCUAAAUACACCACCGAAGCUGCGGAUUGAUACCAAUGGUAUCAGUGGUAGGGGAGCGUUCUAAGGACAGUGAAGUCAGACCGGAAGGACUGGUGGAGUGCUUAGAAGUGAGAAUGCCGGUAUGAGUAGCGAAAGACGGGUGAGAAUCCCGUCCACCGAAUGCCUAAGGUUUCCUGAGGAAGGCUCGUCCGCUCAGGGUUAGUCAGGACCUAAGCCGAGGCCGACAGGCGUAGGCGAUGGACAACAGGUUGAUAUUCCUGUACCACCUCUUUAUCGUUUGAGCAAUGGAGGGACGCAGAAGGAUAGAAGAAGCGUGCGAUUGGUUGUGCACGUCCAAGCAGUUAGGCUGAUAAGUAGGCAAAUCCGCUUAUCGUAAAGGCUGAGCUGUGAUGGGGAAGCUCCUUAUGGAGCGAAGUCUUUGAUUCCCCGCUGCCAAGAAAAGCUUCUAGCGAGAUAAAAGGUGCCUGUACCGCAAACCGACACAGGUAGGCGAGGAGAGAAUCCUAAGGUGUGCGAGAGAACUCUGGUUAAGGAACUCGGCAAAAUGACCCCGUAACUUCGGGAGAAGGGGUGCUUUCUUAACGGAAAGCCGCAGUGAAUAGGCCCAAGCGACUGUUUAGCAAAAACACAGCUCUCUGCGAAGCCGUAAGGCGAAGUAUAGGGGGUGACACCUGCCCCGGUGCUGGAAGGUUAAGGAGAGGGGUUAGCGUAAGCGAAGCUCUGAACUGAAGCCCCAGUAAACGGCGGCCGUAACUAUAACGGUCCUAAGGUAGCGAAAUUCCUUGUCGGGUAAGUUCCGACCCGCACGAAAGGUGUAACGAUUUGGGCACUGUCUCAACCAGAGACUCGGUGAAAUUAUAGUACCUGUGAAGAUGCAGGUUACCCGCGACAGGACGGAAAGACCCCGUGGAGCUUUACUGUAGCCUGAUAUUGAAUUUUGGUACAGUUUGUACAGGAUAGGCGGGAGCCUUUGAAACCGGAGCGCUAGCUUCGGUGGAGGCGCUGGUGGGAUACCGCCCUGACUGUAUUGAAAUUCUAACCUACGGGUCUUAUCGACCCGGGAGACAGUGUCAGGUGGGCAGUUUGACUGGGGCGGUCGCCUCCUAAAGUGUAACGGAGGCGCCCAAAGGUUCCCUCAGAAUGGUUGGAAAUCAUUCGUAGAGUGCAAAGGCAUAAGGGAGCUUGACUGCGAGACCUACAAGUCGAGCAGGGACGAAAGUCGGGCUUAGUGAUCCGGUGGUUCCGCAUGGAAGGGCCAUCGCUCAACGGAUAAAAGCUACCCCGGGGAUAACAGGCUUAUCUCCCCCAAGAGUCCACAUCGACGGGGAGGUUUGGCACCUCGAUGUCGGCUCAUCGCAUCCUGGGGCUGUAGUCGGUCCCAAGGGUUGGGCUGUUCGCCCAUUAAAGCGGUACGCGAGCUGGGUUCAGAACGUCGUGAGACAGUUCGGUCCCUAUCCGUCGUGGGCGUAGGAAAUUUGAGAGGAGCUGUCCUUAGUACGAGAGGACCGGGAUGGACGCACCGCUGGUGUACCAGUUGUUCUGCCAAGGGCAUAGCUGGGUAGCUAUGUGCGGAAGGGAUAAGUGCUGAAAGCAUCUAAGCAUGAAGCCCCCCUCAAGAUGAGAUUUCCCAUAGCGUAAGCUAGUAAGAUCCCUGAAAGAUGAUCAGGUUGAUAGGUUCGAGGUGGAAGCAUGGUGACAUGUGGAGCUGACGAAUACUAAUAGAUCGAGGACUUAACCA
rnacentral:rRNA from 1 species